rnacentral:rRNA from 1 species
AAUCAACGCUGGCGGCGUGCCUCAGACAUGCAAGUCGAACGCGAAAGGCUCCUUCGGGGGCCGAGUAGAGUGGCGCACGGGUGAGUAACACGUAGGUAAUUUGCCUUUGGGUGGGAAUAACUCAGGGAAACUUGAGCUAAUACCGCAUAAUGCAGCGGCUCGACAUCGAGACAGUUGUUAAGCGGGGAGUCGCAAGACCUCGCGCCUGAAGAGAAGCCUGCGGCAGAUUAGCUAGUUGGUAGGGUAAUGGCCUACCAAGGCGACGAUCUGUAACCGGCCUGAGAGGGCGGUCGGUCACACUGACACUGACAUAC